CGCCGCGGCGGCAGGCUCGCACAUGCCCAGAGGCCGGGGGAAGGCUCCGUUCCUGGCUCCGAGCCGGCUCCCGGGGCGGGCGAUGGGCGAUGGACGCAGGCGAUGGCGCGGCAAAAGUGUUUGUUUGGGGUAACGAUGCAUUGGCUCAUUCCCAGAGUGUUGCCAAGGCCAAAUAUGAAUUUCAGUUUGGUGGGUCAGAAACACAGAAACCUUCAGAAACAGAAAAUGUAAACAACUUUACAGAUCAUCACCAAACGUGUUACCAAAGUACAACAUGAUUCAUUAUGAACUCAUCUCUUGUUUGGAGUAUCAUUAGGCAACAACACAGUUGUCAUGCAUGUUCAGUGUUUCUGGGAACAUCUUAAAACUGACAAUUGUCUUUACUAACUAACAAACCAAAGGAAGUCCUCAUAUGUGCUGCCAUUCAGAGAAAUUUGUCAAAUGCAUUGGCUUUUGUGGGCAAACAUAUUNACUUAAAGUCUUUCUGGAUGAUUCUAUAUCUGUAGCUACAGUUACCUAAGAUUUAAUUUAGAUAUUUUGGCUAAACCCUCAAGCUAAACUUUUUUUUCUCUGUUUGUAUUGGAAAAACUCCACUCACCAUUUUAUUUUCUGGAUGCAGCAGUAAGAAGUAAUAUCUAGGGGUCAGCCUCCUGUUCGGUAGUAAGGACAUUCAACUCCUAACCCAGCUAGUCCUGGGUCAAGCGGAGUAAAGAACUGCAGUGGAGAUGCUCAUUUCUCUCAGUUCUUGUUUGGGGUACUACAAAUCCUUGCCUUUAUUUCAGAUCCUUCCAGAUCAUGGGCUGUCUUUAGGAUGCCAUUUUUAGUUAAAAGAAGGAAUCAUUUAUCACCAAAAUUGUGCAGGAAUCUGUUCAGAAGCAGAUUCUGAAGUGGGCAGAAAAACUAAAUGAACAGAAUUCAAGUCCAGAUGAUGAGCAAUUUCUCCAAGGCUCUUGCUGAGUUUUAUCUUUGUUUUUAUCAGGAAAUCCAACACGCCUAAUUUUUUAACUUGUUUCUUUAGAAAAUGUAAACAACUUUACAGAUCAUCACCAAACGUGUUACCAAAGUACAACAUGAUUCAUUAUGAACUCAUCUCUUGUUUGGAGUAUCAUUAGGCAACAACACAGUUGUCAUGCAUGUUCAGUGUUUCUGGGAACAUCUUAAAACUGACAAUUGUCUUUACUAACUAACAAACCAAAGGAAGUCCUCAUAUGUGCUGCCAUUCAGAGAAAUUUGUCAAAUGCAUUGGCUUUUGUGGGCAAACAUAUUGAAUAAAU
rnacentral:lncRNA from 1 species